AAGUUGUUGCGGUUAAAAAGCUCGUAGUUGGAUCUGUGUUUUAAGCUAUCGGUUCACCGUUUUGAUGGUGUUUAACUGAUAUGACUUAAAAUGUCCUGCCGGUUGACUCGUGUUUCUUCCUCGCGGGAGAAAUGCGAUUGUCAGUUCCAAUCCUGUCGCGGUGCUCUUCAUUGAGUGUCGAGGCGGGCCGGCACGUUUACCUUGAACAAAUUUGAGUGCUUAAAGCAGGCUUAUAUUGCCGGAAAACUGUGUGCAUGGAAUAAUAUAAUAGGACUUCAGUUCUAUUUUGUUGGUUUUCGGAGUUUGAAGUAAUGAUUAAUAGGAACUGACGGGGGCAUUAGUAUUGCGGCGCUAGAGGUGAAAUUCUUGGACCGUCGCAAGACUAACUAAAGCGAAAGCAUUUGCCAAGGAUGCUUCCAUUAAUCAAGAACGAAAGUUAGAGGUUCGAAGGCGAUCAGAUACCGCCCUAGUUCUAACCAUAAACGAUGCCAGCCAGCGAUUCGCCGUUGUUAAAAAUUGACUCGGCUAGCAGCUUCCGGGAAACCAUAAGCAUUUGGGUUCCGGGGGAAGUAUGGUUGCAAAGCUGAAACUUAAAGGAAUUGACGGAAAGGCACCACCAGGAGUGGAGCCUGCGGCUUAAUUUGACUCAACACGGGAAAUCUCACCAGGCCAGAACACCAGGUGGAUUGACAGAUUGAGAGCUCUUUCUUGAUUUGGUGGG
rnacentral:rRNA from 1 species